GCCGGGGUAGCUCAGUUGGUCAGAGCGCUGGAUUGUGGAUCCAGAGGUCCUGGGUUCGACCCCCAGCCCCGGUACCA
rnacentral:tRNA from 1 species